rnacentral:rRNA from 1 species
UGCCUAACACAUGCAAGUCGAACGGGGUCAUGGGGCUUGCUCCAUGACUUAGUGGCGCACGGGUGAGUAACGCGUGGGAACCUGCCCCGGAGUGUGGAAUAACCGAGGGAAACUUCGGCUAAUACCGCAUACGUCCCAAGGGAGAAAGGCUUCGGCCGCCCUGGGAGGGGCCCGCGUCCGAUUAGCUAGUUGGCGGGGUAACGGCCCACCAAGGCGACGAUCGGUAGCUGGUCUGAGAGGAUGAUCAGCCACACUGGGACUGAGACACGGCCCAGACUCCUACGGGAGGCAGCAGUGGGGAAUAUUGGACAAUGGGGGCAACCCUGAUCCAGCAAUGCCGCGUGAGUGAUGAAGGCCUUAGGGUUGUAAAGCUC